UUGAACGCUGGCGGCAGGCCUAACACAUGCAAGUCGAAUGGUAACAGGAAACAGCUUGCUGUUUCGCUGACGAGUGGCGGACGGGUGAGUAAUGUCUGGGAAACUGCCUGAUGGAGGGGGAUAACUACUGGAAACGGUAGCUAAUACCGCAUAACGUCGCAAGACCAAAGAGGGGGACCUUCGGGCCUCUUGCCAUCAGAUGUGCCCAGAUGGGAUUAGCUAGUAGGUGGGGUAACGGCUCACCUAGGCGACGAUCCCUAGCUGGUCUGAGAGGAUGACCAGCCACACUGGAACUGAGACACGGUCCAGACUCCUACGGGAGGCAGCAGUGGGGAAUAUUGCACAAUGGGCGCAAGCCUGAUGCAGCCAUGCCGCGUGUAUGAAGAAGGCCUUCGGGUUGUAAAGUACUUUCAGCGGGGAGGAAGGGAGUAAAGUUAAUACCUUUGCUCAUUGACGUUACCCGCAGAAGAAGCACCGGCUAACUCCGUG
rnacentral:rRNA from 1 species